rnacentral:lncRNA from 1 species
AUUCCGGACGACAACGAGGGGAAGGUUUUAAGAGUUAAGCUGAUCAUGAAAGAAGGGGUGGAAUUUUUCAGCCCUGUCUACUUGUUUGAUGAAGGCUCUUCUAUUUCAUGGAUCCCGUGUGGUAGGAAGCUCACCUGCUCUUACCCUGGCAUCAAAUUCUCCUAUGGGCCCGACGCUUACUACGGCCAUGAGGUAUCUGGUCUAAAGUUCUAAAUAUGCUUUAGAUUUGACCUGUUUAAGAAUAUGCUGGAGAAGUAAGAAUCUUUCGGAAUUGAUUUUUUAGUUAUAAUGAUGCAGGAAGGGAUCCAUAGAUUCUUUCUUUGGUCUGAGAAAACAAUGAGCUCAAUUUCUACAGUUUAAUAUUUUUGUUACUUAUACUCUGUUUUGUUUUGUUCGUUCUCAGGUGUCUGUACUGGAAAUGGAUGGGCAAUUUGACAGAUUAGAUGAGCUCAUCUAUGUCGAAAGCCAUCUAAGUAACAUCUCUACCAAGUUCUAUGGAGAAGUCACCCAGCAGAUGUUGAAGCAUGCUGAUUUCCCCGGCAGCAACAACGGAACAGGUCUCUUCCAAACAAUCGUCGGAUUGAAAAUAAGAGACCUCUUCGAGCAAAUUGUUGCCAGCAGGGCCAAAACCCCAGUUGAAGCCACAAAAGCCUAAUUUACAUAUUGAACAAGGCACUCAUUCUCAAAACCCUCUUUGAGUUUCUCUUUUUCAACGUCCUCUUGUGCUUCAGUUCAGUGAUAGGUCGGUCCUCAUAAGAAUGAGAUGUUGAGAACACUCUGUAUCUAUUUGGUGUUAUAUUUCUAUGGAGAUCUGUAUAAUAUAGAGAAUCAAAAACAGAUGAAAUUCAUUUCAGAAACUUCAUAGAAGAUCAGAACCUUUUGGCAUUGUUUUCUCUCAAGUUCCUGCACCACUUUUUCCUUCUUGCAUCACCUAUUUAGCCACUAACAUUGGUGAUUUGCUUGUGCUCUAUUUUCUUCUUGGAACAUGAAUGGCCUAAUUAAAAUGCAUGAUUUUUAUCUUUCCCCUUCAAUGUGCAAAGGAAAUGU